rnacentral:rRNA from 1 species
UGCAAGUCGAGCGAACAGAUGAGAAGCUUGCUUCUCUGAUGUUAGCGGCGGACGGGUGAGUAACACGUGGGUAACCUACCUAUAAGACUGGGAUAACUCCGGGAAACCGGGGCUAAUACCGGAUAAUAUUUUGAACCGCAUGGUUCAAUAGUGAAAGACGGUUUCGGCUGUCACUUAUAGAUGGACCCGCGCCGUAUUAGCUAGUUGGUAAGGUAACGGCUUACCAAGGCGACGAUACGUAGCCGACCUGAGAGGGUGAUCGGCCACACUGGAACUGAGACACGGUCCAGACUCCUACGGGAGGCAGCAGUAGGGAAUCUUCCGCAAUGGGCGAAAGCCUGACGGAGCAACGCCGCGUGAGUGAUGAAGGUCUUCGGAUCGUAAAACUCUGUUGUUAGGGAAGAACAAAUUUGUUAGUAACUGAACAAGUCUUGACGGUACCUAACCAGAAAGCCACGGCUAACUACGUGCCAGCAGCCGCGGUAAUACGUAGGUGGCAAGCGUUAUCCGGAAUUAUUGGGCGUAAAGCGCGCGUAGGCGGUUUCUUAAGUCUGAUGUGAAAGCCCACGGCUCAACCGUGGAGGGUCAUUGGAAACUGGGAAACUUGAGUGCAGAAGAGGAGAGUGGAAUUCCAUGUGUAGCGGUGAAAUGCGCAGAGAUAUGGAGGAACACCAGUGGCGAAGGCGGCUCUCUGGUCUGUAACUGACGCUGAUGUGCGAAAGCGUGGGGAUCAAACAGGAUUAGAUACCCUGGUAGUCCACGCCGUAAACGAUGAGUGCUAAGUGUUAGGGGGUUUCCGCCCCUUAGUGCUGCAGCUAACGCAUUAAGCACUCCGCCUGGGGAGUACGACCGCAAGGUUGAAACUCAAAGGAAUUGACGGGGACCCGCACAAGCGGUGGAGCAUGUGGUUUAAUUCGAAGCAACGCGAAGAACCUUACCAAAUCUUGACAUCCUUUGACCGCUCUAGAGAUAGAGUCUUCCCCUUCGGGGGACAAAGUGACAGGUGGUGCAUGGUUGUCGUCAGCUCGUGUCGUGAGAUGUUGGGUUAAGUCCCGCAACGAGCGCAACCCUUAAGCUUAGUUGCCAUCAUUAAGUUGGGCACUCUAGGUUGACUGCCGGUGACAAACCGGAGGAAGGUGGGGAUGACGUCAAAUCAUCAUGCCCCUUAUGAUUUGGGCUACACACGUGCUACAAUGGAUAAUACAAAGGGCAGCGAAUCCGCGAGGCCAAGCAAAUCCCAUAAAAUUAUUCUCAGUUCGGAUUGUAGUCUGCAACUCGACUACAUGAAGCUGGAAUCGCUAGUAAUCGUAGAUCAGCAUGCUACGGUGAAUACGUUCCCGGGUCUUGUACACACCGCCCGUCACACCACGAGAGUUUGUAACACCCGAAGCCGGUGGAGUAACCUUUUAGGAGCUAGCCGUCGAAGGUGGGACA